rnacentral:rRNA from 1 species
AUUGAACGCUGGCGGCAUGCCUUACACAUGCAAGUCGAACGGCAGCACGGGAGCAAUCCUGGUGGCGAGUGGCGAACGGGUGAGUAAUACAUCGGAACGUGCCCAGUCGUGGGGGAUAACUACUCGAAAGAGUGGCUAAUACCGCAUACGACCUGAGGGUGAAAGCGGGGGAUCGCAAGACCUCGCGCGAUUGGAGCGGCCGAUGUCAGAUUAGCUAGUUGGUGGGGGAAAGGCCUACCAAGGCUACGAUCUGUAGUUGGUCUGAGAGAACGACCAGCCACACUGGGACUGAGACACGGCCCAGACUCCUACGGGAGGCAGCAGUGGGGAAUUUUGGACAAUGGGCGCAAGCCUGAUCCAGCAAUGCCGCGUGCAGGAAGAAGGCCUUCGGGUUGUAAACUGCUUUUGUCAGGGAAGAAAUCCUCUGGGUUAAUACCUCGGGGGGAUGACGGUACCUGAAGAAUAAGCACCGGCUAACUACGUGCCAGCAGCCGCCGUAAAAC